rnacentral:rRNA from 1 species
AUUGAACGCUGGCGGCAGGCCUAACACAUGCAAGUCGAACGGUAACAGGAAGCAGCUUGCUGCUUUGCUGACGAGUGGCGGACGGGUGAGUAAUGUCUGGGAAACUGCCUGAUGGAGGGGGAUAACUACUGGAAACGGUAGCUAAUACCGCAUAACGUCGCAAGACCAAAGAGGGGGACCUUCGGGCCUCUUGCCAUCGGAUGUGCCCAGAUGGGAUUAGCUAGUGGGUGGGGUAAAGGCUCACCUAGGCGACGAUCCCUAGCUGGUCUGAGAGGAUGACCAGCCACACUGGAACUGAGACACGGUCCAGACUCCUACGGGAGGCAGCAGUGGGGAAUAUUGCACAAUGGGCGCAAGCCUGAUGCAGCCAUGCCGCGUGUAUGAAGAAGGCCUUCGGGUUGUAAAGUACUUUCAGCGGGGAGGAAGGGAGUAAAGUUAAUACCUUUGCUCAUUGACGUUACCCGCAGAAGAAGCACCGGCUAACUCCGUG